CUAUUCACACGAAUAACAAAAGACACAUAAUACCCGUAGUUACUGAAACUAGUCCUCAGAUCAGUUCUAUUCACAUAAAUAACAAAAGACACAUAAUACCCGUAGUUACUAAAACUAGUCAUCAGAUCAGUUCUAUUCACAUAAAUAACAAAAAGACACAUAAUACCCGUAGUUACUUAAACUAGUCAUCAGAUCUGUUCUAUUCACAGAAAUAACAAAAGACACAAAAUACCCGUAGUUACUUAAACUAGUCCUCAGAUCAGUUCUAUUCACAUAAAUAACAAAAGACACAAAAUACCCGUAGUUACUAAAACUAGUCAUCAGAUCUGUUCUAUUCACAGAAAUAACAAAAGACACAAAAUACCCGUAGUUACUUAAACUAGUCCUCAGAUCAGUUCUAUUCACAGAAAUAACAAAAGACACAAAAUACCCGUAGUUACUAAAACUAGUCAUCAGAUCUGUUCUAUUCACAUAAAUAACAAAAAGACACAUAAUACCCGUAGUUACUAAAACUAGUCAUCAGAUCUGUUCUAUUCACAGAAAUAACAAAAGACACAAAAUACCCG
rnacentral:lncRNA from 1 species